UGCGAAGUAGUGUAACGGUAACAUAACAGUCUCAUGAACUGUUGUCCGAGGUUCGACUCCUUGCUUCGCAU